rnacentral:rRNA from 1 species
GACGGAGGAUGCAAGCGUUAUCCGGAAUGAUUGGGCGUAAAGCGUCUGCAGGUGGCAGUUCAAGUCUGCUGUCAAAGACCGGGGCUUAACUUCGGAAAGGCAGUGGAAACUGAACAGCUAGAGUAUGGUAGGGGCAGAGGGAAUUCCUGGUGUAGCGGUGAAAUGCGUAGAGAUCAGGAAGAACAUCGGUGGCGAAGGCGCUCUGCUGGACCAUAACUGACGCUGAGGCACGAAAGCGUGGGUAGCAAACAGG